rnacentral:lncRNA from 1 species
ACAGUCCAUGCUUACCUUGCUCCAUCCUGAAGGAAUGGUCCACACUUACCUGACUCCACUCUGAAGGAAUGGUCCAUGCUUACCUGGGCCCAUCCUGAAGAAACAGUCCAUUCUUACCUGGCUGUAUUCUGAAGGAAUGGUCCACACUUACCUGGCUCUAUCCUGAAGGAAUGGUCCAUGGUUACCUGGGCCCAUCAUGAAGAAACAGUCCAUGCUUACCUGGCUGUAUUCUGAAGGAAUGGUCCACACUUACCUGACUUCAUCCUGAAGGAAUGGUCCAUGCUUACCUGAGCCCAUCCUGAAGGAAUGGUCCACACUUACCUGACUCCAUCCUGAAGGAAUGGUCCAUGCUUAACUGGGCCCAUCCUGAAGAAACAGUGCAUGCUUACCUGGCUGCAUUGUGAAGGAAUGGUCCCUGCUUACCUGAUUCCAUCCUGAAGGAAUGGUCCACACUUACGUGACUCCAUCUUGAAGGAUUGGUCCAUGCUUACCUGGGCCCAUCUUGAGGAAACAGUCCAUGCUUACCUGGCUGUAUUCUGAAGAAUUGGUCCACACUUACCUGGCUCCAUCCUGCAGGACUGGUCCAUGCUUACCUGGGCCCAUCCUGAAGAAACAGUCCAUGCUUACCUGGCUGUAUUCUGAAGGAAUGGUCAACACUUACCUGGCUCCAUCCUGAAGGAAUGGUCCAUGCUUACCUGGGCCCAUCCUGAAGAAACAGUCCAUGCUUAACUGGCUGUAUUCUGAAGGAAUGGUCAGUGAUUACCUGGCUCCAUCCUCAAGGAAUAGUCCAUGCUUACCUGGGCCCAUCCUGAAGAAGCAGUCAAUGCUUACCUUGCUGCAUCCUGAUGGAGUGGUCCACACUUACCUGACUCCAUCCUGAAGGAAUGGUCCAUGCUUAACUGGGCCCGUCCUGAAGAAACAGUCCAUGCUUACCUUGUUGCAUUCUGAAGGAAUGGUCCAUACUUACCUGACUCCAUCCUGAAGGAAUGGUCCAUGCUUACCUGGGCCCAUCCUGAAGAAACAGUCCAUGCUUACGUGGCUGUAUUAUGAAGAAAUGGUCCACACUUACCUGGCUCCAUCCUGAAGGAAGGGUCCACACUUCCCUGAAUCCACCCUGAAGGAAUGGUCCAUGCUGACCUGGGCUCAUCCUGAAGAAACAGUCCAUGCUUACCUGGCUGUAUUCUGAAGGAAUGGUCCCUGCUUACCUGAUUCCAUCUUGAAGGAAUGGUCCACACUUACGUGACUCCAUCCUGAAGGAAUGGUCCAUGCUUACCUGGGCCCAUCUUGAGGCAACAGUCCAUGCUUACCUGGCUGUAUUCUGAAGAAAUGGUCCACACUUACCUGGCUCCAUCCUGCAGGACUGGUCCAUGCUUACCUGGGCCCAUCCUGAAGAAACAGUCCAUGCUUACCUGGCUGUAUUCUGAAGGAAUGGUCCACACUUACCUGGCUCCAUCCUGAAGGAAUGGUCCAUGCUUACCUGGGCCCAUCCUGAAGAAACAGUCCAUGCUUACCUUGCUCCAUCCUGAAGGAUUGGUCCCUGCUUACCUGAUUCCAUCCUGAAGGAAUGGCCCACACUUAUGUGACUCCAUCCUGAAGGAAUGGUCCAUGCUUACCUGGGCCCAUCCUGAAGAAACAGUCCAUGCUUACCUGGCUGUAUUCUGAAGGAAUGGUCCACAAUUACGUGACUCCAUCCUGAAGGAAUGGUCCAUGCUUACCUGGGCCCAUCCUGAAGAAACACUCCAUGCUUACCUGCCUGUAUUCUGAAGAAAUGGUCCACACUUACCUGGCUGCAUCCUGAAGGAAUGGUCCAUGCUUACCUGGGCCCAUCGUGAAGAAACAGUCCAUGGUUACCUGGCUGUAUUCUGAAGGAAUGGUGCACGCUUACCUGGCUCCAUCCUGAAGGGAUGGUCCAUGCUUACCUGGGCCCAUCCUGAAGAAACUGUCCAUGCUUACCUUGCUCCAUCCUGAAGGAAUGGUCCACACUUACCUGACUCCACUCUGAAGGAAUGGUCCAUGCUUACCUGGGCCCAUCCUGAAGAUACAGUCCAUGCUUACCUGGCCGUGUUCUGAAGGAAUGUUCCACACUUACCUGGCUCUAUCCUGAAGGAAUGGUCCAUGGUUACCUGGGCCAAUCCUGAAGAAAGAGUCCAUGCAUACCUGGCUGUAUUCUGAAGGAAUGGUCCACACUUACCUGGCUCCAUCCUGAAGGAAUGGUCCAUUCUUACCUGGGCCCAUCCUGAAGAUACAGUCCAUGCUUACCUGGCCGUAUUCUGAAGGAAUGUUCCACACUUACCUGGCUCUAUCCUGAAGGAAUGGUCCAUGGUUACCUGGGCCCAUCCUGAAGAAAGAGUCCAUGCAUACCUGGCUGUAUUCUGAAGGAAUGGUCCACACUUACCUGGCUCCAUCCUGAAGGAAUGGUCCAUUCUUACCUGGGCCCAUCCUGAAGAAACAGUUCAUGCUUACCUGGCUGUAUUCUGAAGGAAUGGUCCUUGCUUACCUGAUUCCAUCCUGAAGGAAUGGUCCACACUUACGUGACUGCAUCCUGAAGGAAUGGUCCAUGCUUACCUGGUCCCAUCCUGAAGAAACAGUCCAUGCUUACCUCGCUGUAUUCUGAAGGAAUGGUCCACACUUACCUGGCUCCAUCCUGAAGGAAUGGUCCAUGCUUACCUGGGCCCAUCCUGAAGAAACAGUACAUGCUUACCUGCCUGUAUUUUGAAGGCAUGAUCCUCACUUUCCUGUCUCCAUCCUGAAGAAAUGGUCCAUGUUUACCUGGGCCCAUCCUGAAGAAACAGUCCAUGCUUACCUGACUGUAUUCUGAAGGAAUGGUCCACACUUACCUGGCUCCAUCCUGAAGGAAUGGUCCAUGCUUACCUGGGCCCAUCCUGAAGGAACAGUCCAUGCUUACCUGGCUGUAUUCUGAAGCAAUGGUCACUGAUUACCUGGCUCCAUCCUCAAGGAAUAGUCCAUGCUUACCUGGGCCCAUCCUGAAGAAGCAGUCCAUGCUUACCUUGCUGCAUCCUGAUGGAGUGGUCCACACUUACCUGACUGCAUCCUGAAGGAAUGGUCCAUGCUUACCUGGUCCCAUCCUGAAGAAACAGUCCAUGCUUACCUUGCUGCAUUCUGAAGGAAUGGUCCAUACUUACCUGACUCCAUCCUGAAGGAAUGGUCCAUGCUUACCUGGGCCCAUCCUGAAGAAACAGUCCAUGCUUACCUGGCCGUAUUCUGAAGAAAUGUUCCACACUUACCUGGCUCCAUCCUGAAGGAAUGGUCCACACUGACCUGACUCCACUCUGAAGGAAUGGUCCAUGCUUACCUGGGCCCAUCCUGAAGAAACAGUCCAUGCUUACCUGGCUGUAUUCUGAAGGAAUGGUCCACACUUACCUGGCUCUAUCCUGAAGGAAUGGUCUAUGCUUACCUGGGCCCAUCCUGAAGAAACAGUCCAUGCUUACCUUGCUCCAUCCUGAAGGAAUGGUCCACACUUAUCUGACUCCAUCCUGAAGGAAUGGUCCAUGUUUACCUGGGCCCAUCCUGAAGAAACAGUCCAUGCUUACUUGGCUGUAUUCUGAAGGAAUGGUCCACACUUACCUGGCUCCAUCCUGAAGUAAUGGUCCACACUUACCUGACUCCAUCCUGAUGGAAUGGUCCAUGCUUACCUGGGCCCAUCCUGAAGAAACAGUCCAUGCUUACCUGGCUGUAGUCUGAAGGAAUGGUCCACACUUAACUGGCUCCAUCCUGAAGGAAUGGUCCAUGCUUACCUGGGCCCAUCCUGAGGAAACACUCCUUGCUUACCUGGCUGUAUUCUGAAGGAAUGGUCCCUGAUUACCUGGCUGCAUCCUGAGGGAAUGACCCACACUUAACUCACUGAAUCUUGAAGGAAUGGUCAGUGCUUACCUGGCUCCAUUUUGAGGGAAUGAUCCAUGCCUACAUGGCUGCAUCCUGACGGAAUGAUCCAUGCUACCCUGGCAGCAUCCUAAAGAAAUGGUUCAUACUUACCUACCUGCAUGCUGAAGAAUGGUCCCUGCUUACCUGGCUGCAUCCUGAUCAAAUGGUCUACACUUACCUUGCUCCAUUCUGAAGGUAUGGUCCACACUUUUAUAUCUGCAUCCUCAAGGAAUGGUUCAUGCUUACCUGUCUGCAUCCUGAGGAAAUGGUCCAGGGUUACCUGGCUCCAUCCUGAAAAAUUGUUUUAUGUUUACCUGGCUGCAUCCAGAAGGAAUGGUCCAUGCUUACCUGGCUCUAUUCUGAAGGAAUGUCCCAUGCUUACCUGGCUCCCUCCUUAAUGAAACAUUCACACUUACCUGGCUCCAUCCUGAAAUACUGGCUCAUAUUUACCUGUAUGUACCCUAAAGUAAUGGUCCAUGCUUACCUGGCUCCAUGUUGAAUGAAUGGCCCAUACUUAUCUCACUUCACCCUGAAUGAAUGGCCCAUACUUACCUGGCUCCAUUUGGAAGGAAUGAUCCAUGCUUACCUGGCUUUAUCUUGAAAAAAUGGUCCAUGCUUACCUUGCUCCAUCUGAAGGAAUGUUCCACGCUUACCUGGCCGCAUCCUGAAGGAUUGAUCCAUGCUUACCUGGCUGCAUCCUGAAGGAAUGAUCCACACUUACCUGGCUGUAUCCUGAACGAGUGGUCCUUGGUUACCUGGCUGCAUUCUGAGAAAAUGGUCCAAACUUACCUGGCUUUAUCCUAAGGGAAUGGUCCAUGCUUAGCUGGCUCCAUCCAGAAGAAAUGAUCCAUUCAGAAGAAAGGUUCAUGCUUACCUGGCUGCAUCCUGAAGAAAUGGUCCACAGUUACCUGGCUGCACCCUAACGCAAAGGUCUGUGCUUACUUGGCUGCAUCCUGAAGAAAUGUUUCACGCUUACCUGGCUCCAUCCUGAAGAAAUGGUCCACAGUUUCCUGGCUGCACCCUAAAGGAAAGGUCUGUGCUUACCUGGCUGCAUCCUGAAGGAAUUGUCCAUGCUUACUUGGCUCCAUCCUGAGGGAAUGGUCUAUGCAUACCUGGCUCCAUCCUGAAGUAAUAAUGGCCCUCGCUUCCCUGGCUUUACACUGAAGGAAUUGUCCACACUUCCCUGGCUGCAUCCUGAAGAAAUGAUUCACAUUUAUCCGGCUCCAUCCUGAAGAAAUGAUCCAUGUUUACCUAGCUGCAUCCUGAAGGAAUGUUUCAUACUUACCUGGCUGCAUCCUGAAGGAAUGCUUCCUGCUUACCUGGCUACACCGUGGAGGAAUGGUUCAUACUUACCAGCCUCUAUCCUGAAGGAAUUGUCCACGCUUACCUGGCUGCAUCCUGAAGGAGUGGUCCAUGCUUACCUGGAGGCUUCAUCUGGGAAAACAACCUGUUCCAUCCUCUGGCCAUUUCCAUCUUGGAUUCCUCUGAGCUAAUGACCCAGGUGUUAAUUUUUUUUGUUGUUUAUAGGAUUAUGAUCACGAAAGACAAGGUUUCUGUUCUCCUGGUACUUAGAUUCUAAUGAGGGAUCACAAUCUGUGUUCACUGGGUUUCUCCAGAGAAACAGAAACAAUGGGAUACCAGUUCUUUGUUUUCUUUCUUUCCUCCCUUUUUUUUCUUCCUCCUUUUUCCAUCUAUCUAUCUAUUUAUCGUCUAUCUUCUAUCAUUCUUUCUUUUCUGCUUCCUUGUUUCAUACAUCUAUCUAUCUAGAGAGAGAGAAAGAGAAAAGACAAGAGAAAGAGAUUUUAUUAUAAGGCAUUGGCUCCUGCAGUUAUGGAGGCUGACAAGUUCCGUGAUCUGCAGGGUGAGUUGGCGAGUGGAGACCUCCGAGAGCUGAUGGUGUAGCUCCAGUCCAAAGGCCAGCAGGCUGGAGACCCAGGAAGAGAUGUUCCAGUUAGAGUCUGAAGGCAGCAGAAAGCUAAUGUCCCAGCUUGAAGGCAGCUGGGCAGGAAGAGCCAGCAUUCCAGCGAACUCUCCAUCGGGACAUGGGACCUGGCUGUACGAGUUAAUUCAAACUGAGCCACUUUCCAUUAGGGCACCAAAUGGAGUUAGCAAUCCAAGAUUAUUUUAUUUUCUGGGCUAUCCAGAUGACUUAAAGCCUCGCUGAAGUUCCCAUGAGAAGAGUUUAAACAACCCAAAGAAAGCACGUAAGAAAGGAAUAACAACAACAAAACCCAGAAAGAAUGAAUAGGAAACAAAUGCAGUGGUUCCCCUUACCUGUGGCGAAGACGUUCCAAGACCCCCAGUGGAUAGUACCAAGCCCUAGAUAUAUGAUAUUUUUUCUGUAUACACACACACCUAUAAUGAAGCUUAAUUUAUAAGUUGGGAACAGUAAGAAAUUAGC